CUCACCCGCAGCAGUGCACAGUGUGCCGCGUCGCAGGAUCACAUUCUUAGUCUGGUCAUUUCUUGCUGAAGGUCGAUCGACUGAAUUGCUCAAAGGGAAAAAAUGGGGUUGCCGAAGAAAUCAACAGUGUUGUCACUUGCCCUUUGAGAUUGCUCUACGUGUCUCCAAAUCGCUCGAUAUAUAAACCGUGUUGCGCAUCAGUCAUGCGUUGCGUCCACAACGAAGAGCGACAGCCGUAGUUCGGUCAGCUGUCAAGUUCCUCGUAGCCUUCUUGGCAUAUCUGGAGUUCUAAAUCCACUGCCAUGCAUGAUUCAAGUUUACGUCCUCCUGAUCACUCUUCCCGAACAGGGAGCAAGUUGUGUGACGCGCUCCUAAACGACUUCACUUCAUGCUACACGAGCAGAUCGGAUCAUCUUCUUAGGAGAAGGCAAAAGAAACAGAGUCACGAGGCCCCAGCGAGAAGAUUAACCGAAGUGCCCGUUUCUGUGCUAUAAGCAACGGAUGCAAGUUACUGGAAUAUGUGAGCCCGUAUACCUCGAGGGCGUAGGUAAGAUGAGAAUGAAUGAGGGCAUGGUAUACAGCACGCAAGAUGUGAAUGGGUAACUGCAGAUAUGCCAAUAAGGCUACGACGAACUUGGCAGCGAACCGAACCAUGUCUGUCGCUCGCCGCUGUGGAUGCAACGCAGAUCUGAUGCGCAAUACGGCUGAUAUAUCGAAAGAUUUGGAGGGGCAAGAACAAUAUCGCUCUGUCGCGAUCUCACACCACGGCGUUACAUGUCCCUGGUUGAGGAUCGAUUGCGUCGCCAUGGCAGAACACCAGCAGAAACGCCAUGAGCUAUAGGAAUAGCGCUCAUCAUGUUGGACCGUACACAUCGACCGCACGCCCCACUGAGCUUCCGUCGUCAAGUUUUCGACGCUAUCCACUGGCUCUCUCACGCUGGUGUUCACGUUAGUCAGAAGUCCGUUACCACAAGAUUUGUCUGGCCCAAGAUAAACACCGGCAUUCGUACCUGGCCUCAGUCAUGCAUAUACACUACCAGCGAAGCAAAGUUCGCCGGAAUACCAUCAGCCCUGUGUUCGCCAUCCCGCUUCCGUCCCGUCGUGGGUCCGUUACCACCAUCCAACGGAUCCACCUACUUCCUCACGUGUGCUGACAGAUUUACAGACUGGCCAGAAGGGAUCCCGAUAGGCGACAUCACUGCCUCCACCGUUGCCCAAGCUCUCGUCGCCGGAUGGAUCGCCCGUUUCGACGUACCGUCCACCAUAACAACGGAUCGCGGACGUCAGUUCGAAUUUCGACUAUUUCCUGACCUGAUGAAUAUACUUGGCACGACACGGAUCCGCAUUACGGCUUUCCACACUUCAGCCAGCGGCUUAGUUGAACGGUUCCGUCGCCAACUGAAAACAGUAGUCAUUCCUGUUGCGCUCCUUGGCAUUCGUUCUGCCCUAAAAACUUACCCACGCUGCUCCUCUGUAUGAAACUGGUUUCCGGCACCUAGCUCCAGUUGCCUGGACAGUUCUUACAGGUUGCUACUCCUGCAUUCAAUGCAGGCGUUCCAGACCCACAGCAGUGUAUUCGGAGGCUACACAAUGAGACCGCUGCGACAGACACCACAGCAUCCCUGUGCCGAUGUCAGAGUUUUCGUAAGCCAGGACCUGACAACCUACACGCAUGACUACGUCCGUCGCAAUGCCACCCGUAGGCCACUUGGCCUACGCUAUAUGAUGGCCCUUUCCAAAUUCUCCAGCGCAUUGACAACGCCUCAUGUUGUCGUCAUCAGCGGUCGUCGUGAAGCCCUAUCCAUAGACAGGCUGAAGGCGACGUACAAUGCUGACGAUCCAGUGCUCCAGCUGCACUGUAACCAUUCGCAAUCUUCAUUACCCUCUGCGCCUACUACGCGCGCCUCAACUCCUGAUGAGCUGCAUGAUUCCUCAUCUGUCCAUACGGGGGAUCCACCGUAGCAACGACGACGGGGGCCGUUACGCUGCUCACGGGCACGCGCUGGCAACUAUCACAAUAAACCUUGUCAACUCAC